CAGAUAUUGGUUCCUUUACAAUUCUCUACCAGGGUAAUGAAGGGGGGCUUCAGAUGCGAUCCAAGGAAGGGGAAUGGCUGAAUGUGAAGCCGAUCCCGAAUUCAUUUGUUGUCAAUUUGGGAGAUUCAAUGAAGGGCAUUUGUAAAAGGAAAACCGUGCAGUGAUGGCAGGGUAGUGGAGGAUUGGAGUCGGUGUUGGCUACUGACAUAUAAAUUCCCUCUUCAUGCUAAGGAAAUAUGACAGGUCUCAAAAUCUUCUUCUCCAAGUCUGCAAUAGGUUGUUCGAGAUAGGAUAGUGAGGAGGUGGAAUAUGGAGCUGGGCAGUGACAAUGAAGGGUGCCAAAAUAUCUAGUGGUAGUAUAAUGCAUCUUAUAAAUUUUAAAUAUACAAAGUGAGUUUUAGUUAUUUGUUGGUGGGAAGAUUGAACCAAUUUUUGCAGGAUUCUGGAUGUCUUCUUAACAAUUAUGGAGUAAGUUGAGGGAUGCCUUGACUGUUUCUUUUCUAGAUGACUCAUUUGUAGAUAGUAGUAAACAUUUUACUCUGGAAUGGGGGAUGAGAGUUAGGGUAUAACUUGUAAUAAGUGAUUUUCCAUUGUUUCAAUUAUUUUUUAUGUUUGACAAACAUUAUGCGACCUCCCCUGUGCAUAAAAUAUGGUGGUGUUUGUUUGUGAUUUUCUUAACAUAUCAUAUUGCCUUCAAGAAGCACCAUCUGGAUUCCUUCCGACUGUUGUCAUUCAGGGUUGGAUUUAUUUUUGAAGUUGUGUAACAUAAGAGGAGUUUGGCAUGGGGUUUUAUUUGUGGUUUCUUUGGUAUAAGGAGGGAUUUGCCAUCAUAUUCCUCUCAGGGGAGUUUGGACAAAGAAUCCAACACUCAAAAUAUAUUCUUGUUAUCAUGU